UACAUAGGGGGCAAGCGUUAUCCGGAAUUAUUGGGCGUAAAGCGUGCGUAGGCGGUUUAUUAAGUCUGGUGUGAAAUCCCACAGCUUAACUGUGGAGGGUCAUUGGAAACUGAUAAACUUGAGUACGGUAGAGGUAAGUGGAAUUCCAAGUGGAGCGGUGGAAUGCGUAGAGAUUUGGAGGAACACCAGUGGCGAAGGCGGCUUACUGGGCCGUUACUGACGCUGAGGCACGAAAGCGUGGGGAG
rnacentral:rRNA from 1 species